rnacentral:rRNA from 1 species
UACGAAGGGGGCUAGCGUUGCUCGGAAUUACUGGGCGUAAAGCGCACGUAGGCGGCUUCUUAAGUCGGUGGUGAAAUCCUGGAGCUCAACUCCAGAACUGCCUUCGAUACUGAGAAGCUCGAGUCCGGGAGAGGUGAGUGGAACUGCGGGUGUAGAGGUGAAAUUCGUAGAUAUUCGCAAGAACACCAGUGGCGAAGGCGGCUCGCUGGCCCGGUACUGACGCUGAGGUGCGAAAGCGUGGGGAGCAAACAGG